AAAGAAAAGAAAAGAAAGCUUAGUGGUUUUUCAAGGAGGAAAGAUGAGCAUCAUCCUUCACCACUUGCUUGUUCACUGAGCAGUCAGACUCACUGCCUACCUUUGAGUUCCCAAUGUGGGGGAAAAGGCAUUGCUGAAUAGAUUGAUGGUAUGACCCUAAAAUGGAUCCAAUCUAUGCCCAUAGUGAAACAGCUUCGUUGUCUGGACAAGCACCGGAGAUUCACUGUCUCAUGGCCAUGGAGAACAAGGACACGGACACAAAAAGAGUGAGGUUAAGAGUGGUUUAAAGAAAGAUAAUAGCUCUCUACUGCAGAGAGGGGUCCUGGAGAAAUGAGUUGCUGGACCCAUGGUGAAAUGCAGGGCAUUUUAUAGAUGAGCUGAUGGGGAGGCAGUGCCUGAUUUACAUAGGGUGCGAAAAACUGGUUGGACCAGGUGUGUUUGCAUAGGGCAGGAAUCUCUGGCUGCCCCUACCCCAGUCUUUUAUUAUGCAGGCAGGUUCUCUGUCUGAGCUGUGUCAUGAUGCCCAUGUAUCUAUUACUGUACACGUGGUAACAAAAAAAGGGAAGACCAAGCCUCCAUGUUGGACAUGCCUGGCCCCAGACAGCCCUUUUCUAUUGGCGCUUCUUCCAGCAUUCCCCCAUGCAAGCAUCUUGCUUCCUUAUUUAUGUUUGCAGCUGAAUUUUUCAGGCUGUUCAGUCAGAAAAGUAAUAAUUUGGGGGGCUGCUUUUGGUUAGAAGGAAAAAAUCCACUGAGGACACUUUUGCCCUCACUAUCUGCCUAAAUAAUUCAUUUCUACCUCCUAUAUCAAUAGGGCACGAGAACUGGGGUGGAGAGAAAUGAUAAGAGUUAGGGCCUCAGGUUUGUGUGAGACCCAUCUAGGUAUGAAGCAAAUGGGCUGGAGUCAAGGUGAUGUGGCUCAGUGCUACCAGCAGGAACAUGGGAGCAAAUCCGUUGAGAAGUAAUUGAUACUAGGGAAGCUGGUUGGGAUGGAGCUUCUCACCUGGUUUGUCUUUUCGGGGGUCUGCAAAAGCCUACAACUGUAGACCAUGAGCUAUCAACUUUCAUGACAAAGAAAAAUAAAAGAGCCACAUAGUCAAUGUUACACAGGGUAGUUCACACAAGGAAGUGGCCAUUACCACCCAUAAAGAGAACAGCCAGUGCAUCAUGGUGCUGUGAUCUAAGGACAUAGAACACAUUACUUUUUCCUCCCUCCCUGUUGAAGGAAGAGGAGCAAGAGCAGGGUUUGGGAUAGAAGAUGAGGUGUUGGCACACAUACCCCCUUCCCUCUGUGCUGCUGGUUCCAUAAAUCUAGUCUGUGCAGAGUAAGGGAGAAGAAAAACCUGUUUGGGCUGAGUGUGAAAUUGAAGAUGGGCAAAACUAAGACUUGACCAAAAUAAGACUGGUUUAAUAACCAAUAAUGACUGAAAAGUCAUGGGAUUGAAAUGAGAUAUAUUAAAAGAGCUUGCUCUAUAGUGAUAAAGAUGAGCUUUGACAACACCACACAGAUACCAUCAGGUAAGGAAAAAUAAAACCCUUCCAUUUUAUACCUCAGUUGAGAUUGUAAUCAAACAGGCCCCAUAUAAUAAUAACUCACAUUGGUAUAGUGCCUUGUAGUUUAAAAAUGCUUUUAUACCCUUUUCCUCCAUUGAUGCUUUUAGUAACCCAAGAGGUGUAUAGGACAAAUAUUAUUAUCUCACUCUAGAUGACAAAACUAAGGUUUCAAGCGAUGAAGAGACUUAUUCAAAGCUAUCUGGUCAGUAAGUGGCUUAACCACUACCCAUGUCCAGGUUGCCAGAGUUGGCAGAGUGCAGAUGAUGCACUGAGAAAACAUUAGAAUUUAGAUAAAUCAUGAAGGUAAAGGAAAUAGUGGAUUUAAAGGAAAUUUUGCAAAUAGAUAAAGAAUGAAGUAACAAAUGAAAGUGUUUCUCAUAAUGGGAUCUUUGUUCUACAUGCAUUCAAAUCCUGGGUAUAAAUGUAUUAAAAAUGCACAUUUUAAGGAUACACCUCCAGACCUCUUGAAUCAGAAUUUCAGGGAGCAGAGCAUAAUAUCCCACAUUCUUAACAAACUCCUCCAGUAAUUCUUACUCAUUUGAGUGGUUAAGAGUCACUAAUGCUAAGCCUUCAAGUUUCUUCAGCUCUUUACUUUCUUAGCUCUUCCUGAGAACAGAGAAGAGUAUUCUAAUAAUACUUUACAAAAGGUAUCUCUUUAAAUCCUCAUAACUAUCCAAAGAGGUAGAUGCUAUUAUCCUCAUUUUAAAGCUCGGAAAACUGAGGCAUAGAGAUUUAGGUUAGGUCACCCAGCAAAGUCACAAAGCUAGUAGGCAGAAUAGCUGGGAUUCAAACCCAGUCCUGUUGGAUUCAUAAGCCUACAAGUUUACUUCUAGACUCUACUGUUUUGUCCAUGUUCUGAAUUAUUGUUGCCUGAGUGUUCUAAGUCCAUUGAAUUUAGUAAAAGGUGUUGUUGUCUCCUGUCCAAAAAAAAUCAGACAUAUGCUAGAGUCAGGCAAUUUAACUGAAGUUAGAUAAGCUCAUUUUUCCAUCCUACACGAGGCAUCAAAAGAUUGCUUUUAAAGUAUGUUGUUUAAACACUGAUUUAGCUCUCAGUAAUUUAUUAAUAUAUUAAUAUCUCUUUUUUUCAAUUUUAUUCUCAGAGGAAGCAGCCAAGUUUUCUCUUAGGGCAUGUUUGGUGUAAGGAUAUGGAGAAUAGGAGUGUUAAUGGGUUGUCCAUUUUUCCUUGAGACAGUGCUCUGAGAAUGUUCAUAUUGAAAGCUGGAGAAGGGGAUGGGGCAGGAGGAGAUAAAAGAGCCCAUUCAGAGCUUUGUCUCAUCUUUCUUCUGAAAUAUCCAUUCAGCAAAAAUCCUCUUAGAGUCGUACUUUCUUCCCCACCACAGCCUGACUGCAGAAUCUUGUCCCUUAGUGUCUGUGCCACUGAUUCAUCCUUAUAGAUUUCAAUAUCCCCUUGAAGCCAUCUUGCAGACUACAGUCCCGCUUUCUGGACUAUAUAGAGGAUCCUUUCCAAGGUACCACUGUAAAUGGGGUUUAAUAUGGGGAUCUAGUCACAGAGGUGUUGGAGGAGCUGAGAGUGAAUAGGGAAAGGUAAGCCACCUCAGAGUUUAACAAUGGUAACAGGGUGCUAUUACUGCUAGAACUGGGGGGACCAAGAGAACAGGCACAUUAUCAGUGCCCAGGAGUUAGGGAUGCUUGGAGGGAGAUGAAACCUGGGAGGAGGAGCUGGCCCAGGGACCAUGUAUCUUGGACUGUCAGGCAAAAGCUGGAAUCCUGGGAGUGUAGCUACUCAGUGGGAACUGGAGCUAAAGGAGAGGCUGUCCAGAGAAAAUGAGGAACACAGAGGAAGUGUAUAUCCAGUAGGAGCUGGGAACAUGCAGGGAAUGCAGCUGCAGACAAGAUGCUAUCUGAAAGGGAGAGAGAGGAACAGUAAUAUCCUGGCUGCUCCUUUCUUUCUGCCCUCCACUUUUCCAACAUCACCUCCCAUUGGUUGAACCUGGUUAGCCACUAGUUUGCAAAGGAGGCUGGGAAUUAUGGUUUUUGGAAUUUCACUUUCUAUGAACAGAGAUAAGAAAUGGAUCCUAGAAUGACCAUCCUUGAACAUGAUCCACACAGAUGUUAAAGGAAAAUGACAUCUGAGUGACAUUGCAAUUAUUAUAGCUUACAAACAGGGACCACAAAGUCUAGAAACACAGAAGAAUAUAUACAAUAUGUGGUUUAUUAAUAUUACAUUAUAAUACAUACAUGUACAGUGACAUUAAAGGAUACAUUCAAUAUUUUGACUUUCAUUAGUAGUACAUGGUUUAAUGCACUGUGAAAAUUGCUUCAGUAAUGGUAGACUAAUGGAUUUCCAUCCAUCUCUGCACAAGCAUCUGAGAUCUCCUCUAAUUUUGUCCUCUGUCUGCCAUAAUUUGUAUCUUUAGCAUUACCAAAAGAAUUGUGUUCAAUCUGUUAAAAAAAUCCAUGUUUCUAUCAGUUUCAUAUAUAUUAAUUUAUUUAAAUAACUAAUGUCAAACAUUAAAUUCCGUCUCCAAUUUAUUCCAGAGAGAAGAUCUGAACUAAACUGUGGCAACCUGAACUUCCAUUUUCACAUGCCCAAUUUUAUGACAAAACCCUGAGGCCCUAGUAGUCAGUAUGGACUGAAGAAAUAAAUCAGAUAUAGACCCCAUCAUGUGCCACAACUCAUUUCAAAAUGGCAUCUUGUAUAGUGAAAAUCUGGGAAUGCUAUCCACUUGGCACUUAAAUUUCUGGAGGAUCACAAUUUGAACAGAGAAGAGGACUUGAAGUUUAUUCCUUACUGAUCCAAGAAGCAAGAAAUGUAGGCAGGGUAUUAGGUCAAAAGUUAAUCUCAGAAUUUUCAGAGACCAUGCAUGAUGGACAAGGCCUAUGUACUAUUGUCUCCUCUACAUUCCUAACAAAAUGAUUAGUCUUAACACCCACUUAGCUGUCCAAGCUGUAAAUCUCAGGCUUCCUCCAAGUCCUGUAAAUUCUACUUCUUAGGUUAUUUUCUUUCAAUCUAGUUUGUCUUGCUCAUUCCCAUGAACACUGCAUUAUUUCAAAUCCACAUCUACUCGUGCCUUGUUCACUGCAGUAACUUCCUAAUUGGCCUCCCAUUUCAACAUGUUCGCUCAUUCAAUAAAUCAUCCAGUAUUUCCAUAUGGUAGCUAGAGUGACAUUUCUAAAAUACCGAUCUAAUCAAGUGAUCCCUUGGCUAAGAACUAUAGUGGUCCCUUUUUCUAUUGAAUUAAGUCCAUUAAGACUUUCCAUUGAACACAGAAAAAAUCAUAAACUCUUUAGCAAAACAUACAAGACUCUUCAUAAUCUGACUCCAGUCUAAUUUUGAAGUCCCUCUCCAGCAAUUUUUCUAUACUUAAGCUUUUUUGUAAUUCUAAAGAAAAGAAUCUUAUUUCAAUUUGUUCAGGUGUGGAUAUAACAAAAAAUUCUCAGAGACCUGUUUUAGUUGUUAGUGCUAUUUGUCAAGUAUUUCUGGUUCUUUGCCUUCCUAGUACAUAGUGGGACUGUACUUCUCUUUUUUUGGUAGGGCUGAGUGACUAUUUCCAGCCAGUGAGUUUUGAUGGUAGCUUCCAAGCUGGAGCAUUAAAUUGCUAAUGCAAGACUCUCUGGAGCCCUUUUCCUCUGCCACAAUGUGUGACAGUGUUCAGCAUUGUGACUACUCUAUCAGCCUCCUUUCCAGACUAAGAAGACUUGGAGUAAAGACCCAAGAUGGACUCAAUUAACCAGAGCCCUUCUCCUCCAAACAUGUCACUUAAUGAGACUGUUACUACAAUAAUUACACUUAAACAUAGGCAUCGUGAGAAAAAUGAAAAUUAUGUUCAGAUGGGGACAUGGAAGAAUGAGAAGACUGAACCAAAUCAAUACCUGUUGACUUUUAAGAAACAGAGAAAACAAUUAAGGUAACCAAUUUGCCAAAUAGAGGCACCUUGAUACCUUCAUCUGAGAGCAACCAAAAAGACAAAGAGAACUGAAAAGUGAAUAAAGGGAGAAAGUAUCUACAUUACACAGGUUCAUGUAGAGGGCACUCUCUUAAUUACAACUUUCUGAGACAUUUCACCUGACUCUCAGGUCUUUGUAUUUCCAGUCACUUUUUAAAUGUUUUUGUUUUGGUUUUUGUUUUGUCCCCAGAGCACAAGAAAGGAAAUCUCUGGGACACCUGAGGAGACAUUUCAGAGGAGAAAGAGAAUCAAUUUCCAAGUAAUUUGGAAUGGAAGCAAGUCUGGCCGCAUUCUUUAUCUGGGAGCUCCUCUAAAAUCCUCCCACCACCACCAGGGUUUGAUGGUUAGGAGACUUAGCAACAGAAAGAGUAAAAAGAGAAAAUAAGCAGCGAAGCCUGUGCUUCCAUCUCCCCAGGGCAUGCCGAAAUAUUCACUCCUAGUUCUUCUUCAGGUGUCUCCUGAUGCCUAUGGUUUUGAUAUUGCUAUUUUGUCAUCAUUGUUUAAUUUCGGAUCCUGGUUUGCAAACUUGCAUCUUUCUGAAGACCAGUAAUGAUUUCUACGUUUCAACGAGCUAUUAAGUGUGUAUGUGGGGGGCAAGUGGAAUUGCUGCUGAAUGCAUAAAUUGAUUUGCACCUACAAUUUGCAUUUAUUCUGUGGGUAUAUUUGCCACUAAUGUUGUGACUGAACUGCCAUAAUGAAGAUUAAUUAUAUAAACAUUUUUUGCUGACUUUGUGAGCAGCUGAGUUGGUUGUUUUGCUUGAUUUUCCAAGCUUGGUGCUUAAGAGUAUGAUAGGAAACAUUUCUUGGAUUUGCUCAGCACCUUCAUAGAUGACGUGCCCCAGACCAGUCUUAUCUAAUAAACAUUUGUGGUGAGCUUUUCACUGGC